GGCAGCAGCCCCAAGCUUGCCCAACUGGGCAGAGGAUCCUCCUCCUGUCACCACAGAGCCACAGACGCAGGGAGUGAGCCUGAGUGCCACCAGCCCCAGCUUGCUUUUCAUGGGCUGGUGGCAAAGAGGAAGUAUAGAGGCCAUGGAUAUUGCAGCUGAUAACACAAAGGAACCAAGAAGAUGCUCAGCUCUUAAAUGCCAACAACAAACCAAAGGGAAUCAACACCAGGCCCAAGGUGAGUGGCUGGGUUGGGAUAGGUGAAUGUGAGGGCUUUGCCUUCUCAGCAGCCACUCUGCUUCCUGCAGGCAGAGGUUUUCUCCUCUGGCAUUGCAUUUAGUUCUUUUUCAUCUCAAAAUCUCUUCUGCUGCUUCUUUUUUCUUCUUUUUUUCUUCUCUUUUUUUCUCCUUCUUUUUCUUCUCCUCCUUUUUUUUUCUUCUC